GAUGAACGCUAGCUACAGGCUUAACACAUGCAAGUCGCGGGGCAGCAUGGGGGUUGCUUGCAAUCCCCGAUGGCGACCGGCGCACGGGUGAGUAACGCGUAUCCAACCCGCCCUUCACCACGGGAUAACCCGGCGAAAGUCGGACUAAUACCGUAUGUUGUCCAUUGACGGCAUCCGAUUUGGACGAAAGGCUUGGCGGUGAGGGAUGGGGAUGCGUCCGAUUAGCCAGACGGCGGGGUAACGGCCCACCGUGGCUACGAUCGGUAGGGGUUCUGAGAGGAAGGUCCCCCACACUGGAACUGAGACACGGUCCAGACUCCUACGGGAGGCAGCAGUGAGGAAUAUUGGUCAAUGGGCGUAAGCCUGAACCAGCCAAGUAGCGUGCAGGAUGACGGCCCUAUGGGUUGUAAACUGCUUUUAUGCGGGGAUAAAGUGGCCCACGUGUGGGCUUUUGCAGGUACCGCAUGAAUAAGGACCGGCUAAUUCCGUG
rnacentral:rRNA from 1 species